rnacentral:lncRNA from 1 species
CAAAUUAGUAAAUUUGAUUUUGUCUAUGGACUAAAGUCUGUAUGUCAAGAUCUUAAUUUGUAUUCCUGGAAUACCAAAAUUCUGAGUUACAUGGAUUAUUGUUUAUGUGCAUAAAUGCAAUUACAGAUCUAGGAAAUCUAGUCUACCUUUUAUAACAAGCUAUUAAAAUAAUUAAAUUAACAACAAAAAUGAUUAUUAAAAAACCUGUAUUGUUUUAUUAUCUUAAAAUUUGUAGAUUAUUUGCUUUCUACAUUUAAACAGUAACAUUUCUUUGAAAUUGUAAAUAGUAGCUAUUAGGCUUUCUUUCAUGUUUUGACAUAGUAAUUUCUAUAAAAAGCCAUAUUUGUAUCUAUUAUUAUUUUUAAUAUUUCUAUUUCUCAUAGUGCUUGGUACAGUUCUGGGCAAAGAAAAUGAUAUUUAAAACACACGUUUUGCUUUUUGGACUGACUGACAGCUAACUGUUGGGGCAAAUUUUUAAUUUCCUCAGAAAAAUAAGUAUUUCUCUUUUAUAAACCAGUCUAAAAUAAUAAGCUAAAAUAAAUCCAUAUUUUGCCAGGUAAAUAAUAUAUUAUUUAAAUAAAGUAAAAUUCAUAGAAUAUAGCAGUUUUUGAGGACAUAUCAAAAAAUGCUGAAUUAUUUUCCUAUUUUCUUUUUUAAAAAUUUUUUUCAUUUAGGUGUACUUGAUUUUCAUUGAGUUAAUUUCUUUUUUUUUUUUUUUUUUUUGUCUUUUUGCUAUUUCUUGGGCCACUCCCACGGCAUAUGGAAGUUCCCAGGCUAGGGGAUCAAGAUGGAGGAGAAGACGUCGCAUGCUUACCUUCUUCCACAAACACAUCAAAAAAACACAUCAACAUGUAAAACCACUCACACAAAACAUCUACUGAAUACUGGCAGAUGAACUUAUACCUCCAAAAGGGCAAGAAACUCUUGACAUAACUGGGUAGAACAAAAGAAAAAAAGAGAGAGAGAGAGAAAAGGAAUCAGGAUGAGAGUAGCAUUACUGAGAGGGAGCUGUGAAAGGGAAAAGGAACCCACAUCCUGGGAAGCCACCUUACCAACAGGGAGAUCAGCUGAGAUGGAGGGACCUCAAAGUCACCAAGAAAAGCUCAGCAGAUGGACCGAGGAGGGCAAAGUAGAGUGAGCACAGAUCAUCUGUACCACUGGCCCAGAUACCACAGCUUGAGAUGAUUGGGCAGGGGCUGGGCACUAAAACUUAGGCUCCAGAGGUCAGUUCCGGGGAGAGGACUAGGGUUGGCAGCGUGGGGACAGCCUGAAAGGGUAAGGAGCAAUGUGCCAUGGAGGGGGGAGCAGUGUGUUACAGGCUGGGGAGUAGAACACCAAGGAAUAGGGAACCAGGGAGGAGAUCUGGGCCCACAGGAGAAACAAGGCACCAUUGUUGGGAAGGGCAAGAGGAGGAGGGGUGGACUGCACUUCUUGUGCCAGCUCUGGGUGACCAGGCACCUCUUGUGAGGGCUAAGGGAAGUGGAAGGGCUAAGUAUGAUGUGGUGCUUCUUGCAUGAUUUAUAGGCAGCAGGGACAGAUAGUGGAGGGAGGUGUGGCCUACCACCACCAGGGGCCUGUGAGUGGCCUCCACCUGUGGCCCCAGUCACAUCAGGGGGUGGCCAAAAAAAAGAGUGCACUGCAACAGAAUACCACCCAUUGUUGCUCUCACUCCCCUAGGAACAUACCUGCCCUGCUGCUGCCACUGGCAAAUGCUCUAGGCAGUGCUCAGAUGCUUCAUCACUGUCCCUUCCCAAGACUCUGCAAUUAGGAGCAGCUGGUGCAGCACCUCCUAUGUGGGCUAAGUGGGACAGGGUGCUUCUUGCAUAGUCUACAGGUGGCAGGGGCAAAGCACCAUGGUAAUCUCUGACUCCAGAGGUUGGCGUGGCACGUCAUCACUAGGGGUCCAUGAUCAGGUACCACUUGCAAUACCAAUCACCUCAGAGGGCAUCUCAGAGGAGGGCAUUGUGACCGAACACUACCUGUUGAUGCUCUCAAACCACUGGGAACUCACCCACCCUGCUGCUACCACUGCCAAACACCCCAGACAGUGCCCACAUGCUUGAUCACUGUCACUUUUCAAGAUCUUGCUACUAGGAGCAGCUGGUUCAGCACUUGCUGCACGGACUAAGCAGGACAGGAUGCUUCUUGCAUGGUCUGCAGGUGAUGGGAGCAAACCACUGCAGUUAUCUCUGACUCCAGAGGUGGGCGUGGUCCACCACCAGUAGGGGUCCGUGAACAAGCAGCACUUGCGGCCCUAAACACCUCAAGAGCAUGACAAAGGAGGACACUGCAACCAAACACUACCUGUUGUUGCUUUUGCAUCUCUGGGAGCAUACCAGCUCUGGGCAGCACCCAGAUGCUUGAUCACUGUCACUUCCUAGGACCCUGCAAUUAGGAGCAGCCUAUGCAGCACUUCCCUUGUGUGCUAAGUGGGACGGGGUGCUUCUUGCAUGGUUUGCAGGUGGCAGGGGCAGAACACUGCAGUUAUUACUGAUUCCAGAGGUGGGCCACCACUACUAGGGGUCCCAGAACAAGCACCACUUAUGACCCCAAUCACCUCAAAGGAGGGCACUGCAAUUGACAUUACCUGUUCUUGCUCUCACUCCCUUGGGAACUCACAUACACUGCUGCUGCCACUGCCAAAUGCUCUGGACACCUCACAAAUCUGCCUAAGGCUCAUUACCACUUCUUAGGGCCCUGAAAGGAGGAGUAGGCUGCACCACCUUACUGCAAGUCCUAGCUGCUGUUAAAAGCCCAGCAACCAGGCACUGACUACUAGCCCUAACCAUUGCCUAUUUCUUCCUGGAAACACACUCACCACCCUAGGGAUAACAGCCUGCUCACACUGAAGAAAGAGACAGCAAACAUCCAAACUCCCAUGCCAAAAAUAAAUAGUAACCUCCCACAAAAUAAAAAGGACUGUUCUUGCAUAGAAGUAGCCCUCUAAGACUACAGUUUGCCUUCCCUAAAAUCACAGAAAAAGAAAAAUAUAAGCAAGAGGAAGAUCAGAAACCAUUCCCAGUCAAAGGAACAGGAGAGUCUACCUGAAGCAGCAAACAAUGAAACAGACCUUUGCAGUCUGAGAGACAUUGAGUUCAAAGGGAGAUAGUGAAAAUACUGAAGGAAUUAAGGCUGAAUAUCAAGCAAUUAAGAGUGGAUAUGAAGAUUAAUAUAGAUUCCUUUAGAAAGGGACUAUAAAAUAUAAGGAGAAACAUAGAAAAAUCACAAAAAUUCACUUGCAGAGAUGCAAACUGAGUUAAAGAGACUAAAGAGGAGAAUGAAUAACAUGGAGGAAUGAAUUAGUGACUUGGAAAAUAGAAUAAUGCAAAUCUCCCAAUCAGGACAGCACACAGAAAACCAAAUGAAAAAACACAAAAGUAAUAUAAGAGAUCUAUGGGAUAAUAUAAAGCAAGCCAAUCUACACAUAAUAGGAAUUCCAGAAGGAGAAGAAAAAGAAAAGGGGGUUGAAAAUAUAUUUGAAGAAAUUAUGUCUGAAAACUUUGCAAAUUUAAAGGAAACUGACAUCAAGAUAUAGGAGCACAGAGGGCCACAAACAAGUUGAACCCAAAUAGGCCCACACCAAGACAUACUAUAAUAAAAGUGGCAAAAGUUACAGAUAAAUAGAGGAUUCUGAAGGCAACAAGUGAAAACGAAAGUGUUAAUUCUAUGGGAAUCCCAAUAAGGCUAUCAGCUGAUUUCUCUACAGAAACACUACAGGCCAGAAGAGAACGGCAAGAUAUAUUAGAAGAUCUGAAAGGAAAAAAUUUGCAGCCUAUAAUACUUUACCCAGCAAGAAUAUCAUUUAAAAUGGAAGGGAAGGGAGUUCCUGUCGUGGCUCAAUGGUUAACGAAUCUGACUAGAAACCAUGAGGUUGCGGGUUCGAUCCCUGGUCUUGCUCAGUGGGUUAAUGAUCCAGCAUUGCCGUGAGCUGUGGUGUAGGUUGCAGACAUGGCUCGGAUCCCACGCUGCUGUGGCUGUGGUGUCGGCAGCUACAGCUCUGAUUAGACCCCCUAGCCUGGGAACCCCCAUAUGCCACGGGAGUGGCCCUAGAAAAGGCAAAAAGACAAAAAAAAAAAAAAA